AUGGGGAUGUGGCGUACAGCACUAGAGGCCAACUCCAAGCCUAUAGCACAAGUCACCAUCAAGUGCAGGAUCUACCAAGGAGAUGCUCUGUCCCCACUGCUGUUCUGCAUAGGCCUGAACCCCCUCAGUGAGAUCAUUAACAAGACUGGCUACGGAUACCGACUACGGAACGGAGCGGUUGUCAGCCACCUCCUGUACAUGGAUGACAUCAAGCUGUAUGCCAAGAGUGAACGAGACAUCGAUUCACUGAUCCACACUACCAGGAUAUACAGCAAUGACAUUGGAAUGUCGUUCGGACUGGAGAAGUGUAGUCAGAUGGUAACAAAGAGAGGGAAGGUAGUCAGAACUGAGGGGAUUGAACUACCAGAAGGCAACAUUGCAGACAUAGAGGACAGUUACAAGUACCUGGGGAUCCCGCAGGUGAAUGGGAACCAUGAAGAGGCCGCUAGAAAAGCUGCAACCACCAAAUACCUGCAGAGGGUCAGGCAAGUCCUGAGGAGUCAGCUGAACGGUAAGAACAAGAUCCGGGCCAUCAACACCUACGCCCUGCCCGUGAUCAGGUACCCUGCUGGGGUAAUAGACUGGCCAAAGGAGGAGCUAGAAGCCACUGACAUCAAGACAAGAAAGCUCCUUACCAUGCAUGGAGGGUUUCACCCCAAGUCCAGCACCCUGAGGCUGUACGCUAAGCGGAAGGAAGGGAGCCGGGGACUGGUGAGUGUCAGCACCACAGUCCAGGAUGAGACAAGAAACAUCCACAAAUACAUUGGGAAGAUGGCCCCAACUGACCGAGUGCUCAGUGAAUACCUCAGGCAGCAGAAACCCAAGAAAGAGGAGGGAGACGAGGAACCAUCAUGGAAGGACAGGCCCCUGCACGGUAUGUACCACCGGCAGAUAGAGGAGGUGGCUGAUAUCCAGAAAUCCUACCAGUGGCUGGACAAAGCUGGACCGAAAGACAGCACAGAGGCACUAAUCAUGGCAGCACAAGAACAAGCUCUGAGUACAAGAUCCAUAGAGGCUGGGGUCUAUCACACCAGGCAAGACCCCAGGUGCAGGCUGUGUAAAGAUGCCCCAGAGACAAUCCAGCACAUAACAGCAGGGUGCAAGAUGCUAGCAGGCAAGGCAUACAUGGAACGCCAUAACCAAGUGGCCGGCAUAGUAUACAGGAACAUCUGUGCCGAGUAUAACCUGGAAGUCCCGAGGUCAAAAUGGGAGAUGCCCCCAAGGGUGAUGGAGAAUGACCAAGCUAAGAUCCUGUGGGACUUCCAGAUACAGACGGACAAAAUGGUGGUGGCUAACCAACCGGACAUAGUGGUGGUAGACAAACAGAAGAAUGUAGCGGUUCUGAAUGACAGCAACAUCAGGAAGAAGGAACACGAGAAGCUGGAGAAAUACCAAGGGCUCAGAGAAGAGCUCGAGAGGAUGUGGAGGGUGAAGGUAACGGUGGUCCCCGUGGUAAUCGGAGCACUAGGUGCGGUGACUCCCAAGCUAGGCGAGUGGCUCCAGCAGAUCCCGGGAACAACAUCGGAGAUCUCUGUCCAGAAGAGCGCAGUCCUGGGAACAGCUAAGAUACUGCGUAGGACCCUCAAGCUCCCAGGCCUCUGGUAG
ensembl:lncRNA